rnacentral:misc_RNA from 1 species
CAUGGGUCCAAAACAUUAUUCUCCAUAGUUGGGUUCAGGUUGUUAGAUAUGUGUAGCAACAUCCUUAUUUCUAAGGUUGUGAACUGUGUUGAUCAGAUUCCUGCUUUCCAGUGCUUUAUGGUUUUUUGCUUCUUUGCUCGACAUACAGAUGUAUCUUAAACUUGUUUAUUUUUGCUGGAUUGCAAAAUGCAUUUUUGUGCAUUUGAAUUAAUUUCCCUUAUUAUGCAGAUUUCGCUGAGCUCUCUUGCCAUGGGAAG